rnacentral:rRNA from 1 species
ACUCCUACGGGAGGCAGCAGUGGGGAAUUUUGGACAAUGGGGGAAACCCUGAUCCAGCAACGCCGCGUGAGUGAAGAAGGCCUUCGGGUUGUAAAGCUCUUUUGUCAGGGAAGAAACACCGGCUCUAACACAGUCCGGGAAUGACGGUACCUGAAGAAUAAGCACCGGCUAACUACGUGCCAGCAGCCGCGGUAAUAC